rnacentral:rRNA from 1 species
ACCAGACUCCUACGGGAGGCAGCAGUGGGGGAUAUUGCACAAUGGGGGGAACCCUGAUGCAGCGACGCCGCGUGGGUGAAGAAGCGCUUCGGCGCGUAAAGCUCUUUCAGCAGGGAAGAAAAUGACGGUACCUGAAGAAGAAGCCCCGGCUAACUACGUGCCAGCAGCCGCGGUAAUACGUAGGGGGCAAGCGUUAUCCGGAUUUACUGGGUGUAAAGGGGGCGCAGACGGCGAUGCAAGCCAGGAGUGAAAGCCCGGGGCCCAACCCCGGGACUGCUCUUGGAACUGCGUGGCUGGAGUGCAGGAGGGGCAGGCGGAAUUCCUGGUGUAGCGGUGAAAUGCGUAGAUAUCAGGAGGAACACCGGUGGCGAAGGCGGCCUGCUGGACUUUAACUGACGUUGAGGCCCGAAAGCGUGGGGAGCAAACAGGAUUAGAUACCCUCGUA